UUAAUAAAUUAUAUAUUAUUCAUCAAGACAUAUACGUCAUAGCCAAUUAACAAACAAUAAAACAUUGAAUAAAAACGUGGAGAAGGGAGAUUGGAAUUUCCAAAAUUCUUAUGAGGCUUUAAUUAAGUCCACUGGGUGCUCGGAAUUAUCAAAUCAUUUCUACAUUUCCAUUCUAAGGGGAAAAAAUAAUUCACCUUCAAUGUUCAAAAGCACUAGGAUAAACCUUACUCUUCAUUAAUAAUACCAUUUAUAACUAGCCCUUGAUUGGGAAGAAAAUCAGACCAAUGUUCUAAAUCUCGUUUUAUUUCAAAUAUAUAAUUUGUGAUUUUUUCAAGAUAAAGAAAGAGAAAAAAAUGAAUGGAAAUGGAAACAAAUUCAAAGCAAGAAUGAUAAUACGAUUAUUUUUAAUGAAAAAAAUAACUUGCCUUCAUAAUUGUUUUUUUUUUUUAAAUUAUCUUAUGAAUUUUGGUUUUUCAUCUUAUUUUACCUUAAGAGUCGAUUGUUUAGACCCGCUCUUAUCCCGCGCUUAGGUCAACUUUUAGUUUUAUGAUCAAAACUUAAGUAUCUUUAACUUGGAGCAUUUUUUUUUUUCCAAAUUAGAACACAUAUUAGUUCUAACUCUUACUAACAAUUUUAAAAUCGUCUGACAGGAUCAACAUAACUCAUUCCCAAUCAAUUUCAAAUAUGAGUGUAAAUAUAUUCUGUAGUUAAAUAAGUUAUAUUCAUCAAUUAUAUUUAAUUUCAAAUCAUUUCUCUUCAUUAAUAAUACCAUUUAUAACUAGCCCUUGAUUGUGAAGAAAAUCAGACCAAUGUUCUAAAUCUCGUUUUAUUUCAAAUAUAUAAUUUGUGAUUUUUUCAAGAUAAAGAAAGAGAUGAAAAAUGAAUGGAAAUGGAAACAAAUUCAAAGCAAGAAUGAUAAUACAAUUAUUAUAUUUUAGAUUUUUUUAAUGAAAAAAAUAACUUGCCUUCA
rnacentral:lncRNA from 1 species